rnacentral:lncRNA from 1 species
AACAAAGCCCUCUAGUUCCUGUGCCCUGUAUCAUGGAUCAGCAAGGACUGGGGGUGCACAUUAAUUUUUGUAUCUGCUCUGUUUAGUUCCUGUGUAAAGGUAUUUGUGAUGCAUGUAACUUUCCUUUAGGAGCCAGACUGGUGACAAAAGAAAAAUGCACCUAUACGAAGAACACCGUGUGCGGCUGUGCCCCGGGGGAUUUCUGCAGGCACAUUGCAGGCCUGGACUGUGAAAUGUGUAGUCGCUCCACCAUCUGCCCCCCUGGCUAUAUGGUGGAAGAACCUGGCACAGAAUUCCUUGACAACGUAUGUGAGGUUUGCCCUGAUGGAACCUUCUCAGCAACCAACAUGUCACGCGCCUGUCAGCCAUGGACCAGGUGUGAAGAGGAAGGGAUGACAGAACAAAAGGCCGGGACAGCCACUUCUGAUGCAGUUUGUGUACAAAGAGGCCUUUCUACCACAGUGAUAGCAGUGAUAAUAGUCCUUGCUCUCUCACUUUUAUCUGCAUUUGCUGGAACAAUGUACUUUUUUUGGUGGAAGAAGAGGAGGAAAUAUGGGUUAACACCUUCACAGGAGACAGGGGAUGAGUCAAAAGUACAAGAUGAGAGAACUUCGAUGCAGCCUACAGAGAAUGGGACUGAUAACAGUCCUACUCAGGAACAAACAAAGGCAAGAACAGUGGGGAAAGAAAGAAAGCCAUUGUUCUGUCUACACGUGGAAUAG